rnacentral:tRNA from 1 species
GACAUGGUAGCCAAGCAGGAAAGGCGGCGGACUGCAACUCCGUUAUCGUGGGUUCGAAUCCCACCUAUGUCU